GCGUUAAGAGCUCGUAGGUGGUUCGUUACGUCGGAUGUGAAAAUCUGGGGCUCAACCCCAGACCUGCAUCCGAUACGGGCGAGCUAGAGUUUGGUAGGGGAGACUGGAAUUCCUGGUGUAGCGGUGGAAUGCGCAGAUAUCAGGAGGAACACCAAUGGCGAAGGCAGGUCUCUGGGCCAAUACUGACACUGAGGAGCGAAAGCGUGGGGAGCGAACAGGAUUAGAUACCCUGGUAGUCCACGCCGUAAACGGUGGGCGCUAGUUGUGGGAACCUUCCACGGUUUCUGCGACGCAGCUAACGCAUUAAGCGCCCCGCCUGGGGAGUACGAUCGCAAGAUUAAAACUCAAAGGAAUUGACGGGGCCCCGCACAAGCAGCGGAGCAUGCGGCUUAAUUCGACGCAACGCGAAGAACCUUACCAAGGCUUGACACAUACAGGAAUAUGGCAGAGAUGUCAUAGCGGUAAAACGUCUGUAUACAGGUGGUGCAUGGUUGUCGUCAGCUCGUGUCGUGAGAUGUUGGGUUAAGUCCCGCAACGAGCGCAACCCUCGUUCUGUGUUGCCAGCAUUUAGUUGGGGACUCACAGGAGACUGCCGGGGUUAACUCGGAGGAAGGUGGGGAUGACGUCAAAUCAUCAUGCCCCUUAUGUCUUGGGCUGCACGCAUGCUACAAUGGCUGGUACAAAGGGCUGCAAUACUGC
rnacentral:rRNA from 1 species